rnacentral:rRNA from 1 species
GACGAACGCUGGCGGCGUGCUUAACACAUGCAAGUCGAACGGAAAGGCCCUGCUUUUGUGGGGUGCUCGAGUGGCGAACGGGUGAGUAACACAUGAGUAACCUGCCCUUGACUUUGGGAUAACUUCAGGAAACUGGGGCUAAUACCGGAUAGGAGCUCCUGCUGCAUGGUGGGGGUUGGAAAGUUUCGGCGGUUGGGGAUGGACUCGCGGCUUAUCAGCUUGUUGGUGGGGUAGUGGCUUACCAAGGCUUUGACGGGUAGCCGGCCUGAGAGGGUGACCGGCCACAUUGGGACUGAGAUACGGCCCAGACUCCUACGGGAGGCAGCAGUGGGGAAUAUUGCACAAUGGGCGGAAGCCUGAUGCAGCAACGCCGCGUGCGGGAUGACGGCCUUCGGGUUGUAAACCGCUUUCGCCGGUGACGAAGCGUGAGUGACGGUAAUGGGUAAAGAAGCACCGGCUAACUACGUG